GGCCUGAUUGUCCGGUCCGCCGUAAGGCGUGUACUGGGCCGAUCGGGCCUUUCCUUCUGGGGAACCAGUGUGCUCUUUAUUGAGUGUGCUGGGGAUCCAGGACUUUUACUUUGAAAAAAUUAGAGUGUUUAAAGCAGGCCUAUGCUUGAAUACAUUAGCAUGGAAUAAUAGAAUAGGACU
rnacentral:rRNA from 1 species